rnacentral:misc_RNA from 1 species
GAGCAACUGUAGAUGCCUGGCUGUAUUUCCCAGGCAUAAAGGUUGAUGGAACUCUACUGGCAGCCGGUGACGAUGCUGGUGGAGUUGUCGUGUGGAGUUAUCCGGAAGGCGCAAUUCUUUUUGAAGCAAGGAAACACACAGCUCAUUCAGUGAUUGGAAACAUCCAGUGGAAUCCAUUCAGGCAUGACGUAUUGUCAACUCGGAAUAUUUACGAAAAGAAGCUGCUUUUGUGGAAUUCGUCCAGUGAAAGAAAUCUGUUCUACGAAUUUGAAUAUGAGAUCGAGAUAAGGGGAGUCGCGUGGAUCUCUGAAUCUCAAAUCGCCUUGUCAUUUGAAUCGGGAUUGAUUGAGAUUUACGAAAUAGACGAAGGCCAACCAACAGCGAAAACCCGAGUAGUCCAGCGACUACAACACGAUUCAGGUGUGACGUGGGGUGGCAUACAAUGGAGUGACAAGACGAAACAUUUGGCAACAUGUUCGAGGGACGGAUCGAUCAAGAUCUGGGUCAUGGCAAGUGACCAGCCAAUCCAUAGUUUCGAGUGAAGUUCAGGUUGUUGGCUAGGAUGUUUUGCGAUGUUAAUACCCCGGAGUGGGAAAUCAGACAACGAUAGCGAAUUGCCAGAAAACUUCAGUUUGGCAUGUGGAUUAGAAGACGGAUCUAUUGCGAUUUGGAGUCCGCUGACGAAAAGUGAACAAUCGAGGCAUCGAAUUCUUAAUUUUGGCCCAGAAAACGAAAUAGUGAUUGAUUCCCUCUCGUUUUCACCAGACGGCCGGUUGCUGGCAUCAUUAGUAGGCGACGAAGACGGCAAUCAGUUGAUUAUUUGGUCGACUACGACUUGGAUGCCCGUUUUCGCCAAUAGAAUCCAUGUCUAUUACCCUUUCUGGUUGUCAUGGUUGACCAUGGAAUCGCAGUCGGGAGUGUAUUAUAAGUUAGCUAUUCCUCAAUAUGUUAAACGUCAAGAUGAGGUAUUUGUUGUUGAACUCAUGCCAACGGGCUCCAAUGUCCAUUCACAUUCCUGAUGCAAGAAAAACAAAGAAAACUGAACUGCAAAAAUAUUAGGAAAGUACCCUGUGGGAAAAUUAGAUUCGAUUUAGUCUUAAAUUGACUCCCAACAUUAUUAAGUGCACAACAUUUUAAGCUUAUAACAAGUUGGUAAUUUAAGCUGACAAGAUCACAAAACAAUGAAAAGCCGUCUCCACCGUGCUCUCUUUAUCACUUAAUAUGGACGUCCUUCGUUGUGCUGUUAACUAAUAGUGCAACGGAUUGUCAUAACGUCAAUAAAAAAAGGAAAUAUUUGAA